UGCCUCUUAACUUUACCCUAUGUACUUUCC
rnacentral:piRNA from 1 species